rnacentral:misc_RNA from 1 species
AGUGUGUACCGAGGUCCAUCAGCAGUUGUAUGACUCUCAUGCUAGUGUACCGCCAAUGAAGCACGAUAGGAAAACCUAAAAAGACCAAAGAGGAAGUUAAAGAAAAUAGAAGGCUUGCCGCGCGACAAUGCCGAGAACGAAUUAAAAAUGCCCCUUUUUGUAUUAGCAAUAAAAAAAAAUAAAGGAGAAAGAAGGGUACAGUAAAAAAAAUAAAAAAAUACUGCCUAUCUGCGAAAUGUCACCAAAA